rnacentral:rRNA from 1 species
CAGUAGCCGCGGUAAUACAGAGGGUGCAAGCGUUAAUCGGAAUUACUGGGCGUAAAGCGCGCGUAGGUGGUUCGCCAAGUUGGAUGUGAAAUCCCCGGGCUCAACCUGGGAACUGCAUCCAAAACUGGCGAGCUAGAGUAUGGUAGAGGGUGGUGGAAUUUCCUGUGUAGCGGUGAAAUGCGUAGAUAUAGGAAGGAACACCAGUGGCGAAGGCGACUACCUGGACUGAUACUGACACUGAGGUGCGAAAGCGUGGGGAGCAAACAGGAUUAGAUACCCCUGUAGUCCCUGUCUCUUAUAC